GACGAACGCUGGCGGCGUGCCUAAUACAUGCAAGUCGAACGCAGUUGGGACUGGUGAGUAACACGUGGGUAACCUCCCAUCAGUGGGGAUAACACUUGGAAACAGGUGCUAAACAGAUAUUGAUGGUUGGACCCGCGGUGCAUUCGCGAGUUGUUGAGGUAACGGCUCACCAAGGCCACGAGGCAAGGCUGGGCGUUGAUGGGGAUCUGCUACACGGGGACUGAGACACGGACCAGAAGCAUGCGGGAGGGAGCAGGAGGGAAUAUUCGGGAAUGGAAGAAAGUCUGACCGAUCAAAGCCGCGUGAGUGAAGAAGGUUUUCGGAUCGUAAAACUCUGUUGUUAGAGAAGCGGUAUCUAACCAGAAAGCCACGGCUAACUACGUGCCAGCAGCCGCGGGAAUUC
rnacentral:rRNA from 1 species